rnacentral:rRNA from 1 species
CAGCCGCCGCGGUAAUACCGGCCCCGCGAGUGGUCGGGGUGAUUAUUGGGCCUAAAGCGCCCGUAGCCGGCCCGGCAAGUCCCUCCUUAAAGCCUCGGGCCCAACCCGAGGACGGGGGGGAUACUGCCGGGCUAGGGGGCGGGAGAGGCCGGCGGUACUCCCGGGGUAGGGGCGAAAUCCGUUAAUCCCGGGAGGACCACCAGUGGCGAAGGCGGCCGGCUGGAACGCGCCCGACGGUGAGGGGCGAAAGCCGGGGGAGCGAACCGGAUUAGAUACCCGGGUAGUCCCGGCUGUAAACGAUGCGGGCUAGCUGUUGGGCGGGCUUAGAGCCCGCCCAGUGGCGCAGGGAAGCCGUUAAGUCCGCCGCCUGGGGAGUACGGCCGCAAGGCUGAAACUUAAAGGAAUUGGCGGG